UUACUGGAAACAGUGGAACCCACACAUGCUUGUGGGGCAAUAUUCUUGUGUAUAAGAGGCUAUGCUGCUGAAUCUUUCCAUCUUUUUGCUUUUGCAGAUACUUUGUUACCUGGAUCCCAACUACAGAAAGCUGCAUCUACUGGCUUUCUCCCAAGAUUGGGGCCUCCUAGUCCAGCACUCACACCACAAUACCAAGUUGGCUCUCAGCUCAGAAAGGCACGAGAUUCCUGUUAUUCCUGCCUUUGGUUGUGAGGCAAAAGGAGGACUCUGUGUCUCUAAGGGCUUGAUCAGUGGAUACUUUGGGGGACAAAUUCUUGAAGGAACUCCUACCACGGGCUGUAUCAGACUCUUCAAAAGCCAUUUUAAAAAUGGAAACAGAAAGUGUCUAGAUGAAGACUUUUGAUUUGGAGUUUUGUAAUUUCUUGUAUUAGGUCGCCUGCAAAUCCCUUAAAGUAAAAACGACAGAAAUAGACCACUUUUGGAAUGUAGUGGGGAAAUGCAUUGUUCUUUUUCCAUACUUUUAAACCUCUUGAGGGCUCUGGAAUGGCCCAGGGGGCUUCAAAAAUGGCCCUCGGGCUCCCAUGCAGCCUGAGGAGCACACAAGGCAUAUGUCUGCCCUAUUCUGCAGAUUUCUUCAUCUACUCAGUGCCUUUAUUUUCCUCAACAGAAACGUUAGAGUAAGAUUAGGUGGGUGGUGAGGUAACUUCAUUUUUCUCUCCCAUCAGUUGUGAGAAGGAGGAGCCCUUUCAGAAUCCUGUGGCUUUUCUUCCUCAUGUUCAGUGGAAGUUCUGGGAUGUCUCCGAUAGAAAUACUGUUUGAGCUAAAAAUAUGAAGCAGUUCAGAAGCGAGGCAGAGUGCCUGCACAGAUUGACCCUGGUCCUAAAGGGAACAAGAAAAAGGCUGUUUUUACUCAUUGCAUAGCAAAUCACAGUCAAACCAGCAAAGCCUCUUUCUUGAUAGCCCAGCCUCUGUUUCUUUUCCUGCUGAUUGGACCAGACACAGGGUUACUCUUAGAGACCAUGAAGUAGAGUGGGAGAAGAAGGUUGAUGUUCAUGAAGGAGACGGUUGAAUCAGUGUGGUUGUGAGGGGUGGCGAUCUCCCUCCUAUGUGUUAUCAAUUUCCCUCCUUUACACCAAUUGCUCAUCUGUUCAGUUUGAGGAGUUCUCGACACCUUCUUCCAUAUUCAACACCCUGGAUAAUUUGAUAUCAGACACAUAUGAUAGCACGUAUAGAUGGGCACGAACUGCAGUCCUGUGGUUUGACCCAGUUUGAUGCAGUGCAGGCACAGGUGUUCCAUGUGCACUGCACAAUCCCCUCUCCCACCUCGUCUACAUACUGACCCAUUCCCGGCUGAAGCACACUUCUCUUCCCCCACCUCCUCAACACCUUUAUCCACCCACCAA
rnacentral:lncRNA from 1 species